rnacentral:lncRNA from 1 species
AACACUGACAGGCCCUCGGGCAGAAGUUUUCACAUCCUUCAUGUUGGCUCUGUGGAGGUGAGGUGUUUAUUUUUGAUUGCGAUGUUUUAUUAGCUUCAUUUUAUAAGACUUUCUCAGCGGUAUCAGGUUGCUGUGCCCGGGCUAACCAAGCUCUGUAACGGGGAGCUGUGGUUUUGCAAAUGAGGGGGGGGGGGCUGCUAUGGAAGGGGCUUUAAUAUGUAUGUGGGAGGUGUAGGUGGGAUGUGGGUGUGCAUGUUAUUGUGUGAGGCCCCGCAACUUCACAUAUUCAUAUCCAUGACACUCCCACUCGUGAAACUCAUGGAGAGUAUUCAUUUAGCUAAUUCACUUUUAGCUGUUCAUUUCUGUGGUAUGCCAGUGCCAUAUUGUAACCACAAAGCGUGAUUGAAUGUUUAUGUAUUACAGAACACAUCGCUAUCCAGAGGGUGAAACACCAGAUGAAUGUGAUUACUGUGUAUUUCUCUAUGUGUGAAAUGGAAUUAAAACCCUGUGGUGAUUGUGUUACAUCAGUGUGAAGAGGGCAGUCUGUUCAAUGCCUGCAUCUAACCUAUAAGACGAGGGCCUCCCCUUGUGUUGGGAGGGCAACACUACAAAUCCAAGGAGUGUUUGCAAUGUACGCAGUAGUCCCAGCAAGAAGACACAAGAGAUCGCAGAGACUUCAUUCUCUCCCUUUCGUCGACAAAAUGAACCUUAAAACCUGUCUGUUUGGCAUCGUGAAUGUGUUAUUCUUUAUCGGAACAACAUCAGCAUGCCUUCAGAAAAACAUUUCCUGCAACGACAUUAAAUCUGCUGACGGAUACAGGUUCCCUUAUCCGUGUACUGGGGCAUCAGGAAUUUACGUACAACGUAAUGAGAUUCAGAUUGCUAGAGCUAUGCUUAAGACUCAAACUUUUAACUAUCCGGAAGGUGGUCAAGUGGUGAGCAUGGACAACGAUUCAGUCGUUACAAAGGACUGCGGUGACGUGGAAAUAAGAUGCAUAUUUCUUAGCGUGAGUCUCCCUCUAUCAGUCUCUCUGUACAUUUAAAUUAAAUCAAUAAAAGUCAUAAACUAAAUGUGAAGUAUGUACUCCACACUCUCACAGUAUAAACUUUGAUUUUGCUUUUCAGGAAAAUAAUAUUAAGGAAACCUGUAAGGACUUUAAAACCAGGUAAGGCAGCAAUAUGUUGUAAAUAGCUGUUAUACUAUUCAACCUUAUCUUACAUCACUGAUUAUAAAUAUACAC